AUACAGAGGGUGCGAGCGUUAAUCGGAUUUACUGGGCGUAAAGCGCGCGUAGGUGGCUAAUUAAGUCAAAUGUGAAAUCCCCGAGCUUAACUUGGGAAUUGCAUUCGAUACUGGUUGGCUAGAGUAUGGGAGAGGAUGGUAGAAUUCCAGGUGUAGCGGUGAAAUGCGUAGAGAUCUGGAGGAAUACCGAUGGCGAAGGCAGCCAUCUGGCCUAAUACUGACACUGAGGUGCGAAAGCAUGGGGAGCAAACAGGAUUAGAUACCCUGGUAGUCCAUGCCGUAAACGAUGUCUACCAGCCGUUGGGGGAUUUGAUCCUUUAGUGGCGCAGCUAACGCGAUAAGUAGACCGCCUGGGGAGUACGGUCGCAAGACUAAAACUCAAAUGAAUUGGCGGGG
rnacentral:rRNA from 1 species